CUCAAGAUAGUUGGUAGAUAGCUCAUUUCGUUGAGGGCUACAAUUGGACUUGCAUCCUCAAAAACUGUAGGUUCACAACCUUCAUUACUUUUAGUCAUUCGGGAGCCCACAUGUCAUUGUUAAAUGUUUUGAAUACCUGGCUGCAUGUGCUACUGUAUGUAGAAAUUUAUUUUGCUUUUACGCUAUAAAAAUUACUUACGUAGCGUUCUAUAAAAAUUGUUUUAUGAAAAAUUAGAAUAUUUUAUUCAUUAUUUUUAUUUUAUUCCAUUAGCUAUAAUUCACUUUAAAUGAAUGUUUUAGAUAUCUAAACUUAUUUUCGGUUAUGAAAUGUGUAAAUUUCUCUCAUAUACUACAUUUUAGCUAGUUUCGAAACUUUUGGAAAAAAUGACCAAAAUACCCCUGUCUAGUUGAAACUUCUCUUUGACUGUUUUUGAAUUGAAAUUGGUUCAUAUCACUUUAAAACAUGAUUUUAGGAACUAAUACUCACAGGGAAAGUGAGAAAACUGAUGUUAAGCCUUGCGAGGUUUCGAAUGGCAUUCCGGGUAAUGAAUGUCCAUCGGGACAUUGCGGCGGUUGUCAUGGGCUCGAUGCUAGUUUCGGGUCGUGACAAUUCAGGUGGUAUCAAAGCUUCUAGUUUUAAAGAUCAGAGCUUUUGAUUUUAAAGAUCAAAGCUUUUGGGUUUAAAGUUGUUUUAAAAUUUACAGUGUCAGUGUGACCUCGAGUUAAGUUAGGUUAGACUGAAUAGAAUGCAUGUAUUUGCAUGUAAAGCCUGAGGUUGUUUAAACUUGCUUUAUUCCUUCUUAUAGAUUAUCAUGCCUCCUCGACGUGAACACCAACCUCUCACUAUAUCGGUUGGGAAGGGAAGAGGUCAUUCUCGACAUCUUCAGCUAGAUCCUAUAGAGGGGGAAUUGGCUACGACUACUAUUUGGGCAGCACCUGCUACUGAGCAGAUCGAGACUCCUCCACCUCCUCCGUCGCCUACUAGUAUUCCUGCCAUGCCUCCUGAGGUAGUUCAGGCAUUGGUAGCCUUCUUUACUGCUAUUGCUAGCCAUGCUCAAGCUAGUCAAGCUGUUUCUACAAUUCCUCCAAUUGCUCCUUCAGUACCACCACCCUCACCUCCUGUCCCACCACCAGUGCUAGAUGUUUCUGUUUCUAAGAAGCUUAAAGAGGCUAGGCAACAUGGUUGCAUUUCUUUAUGGGUGAGUCGGACGCAACCGUAGCUAAAGAGGUGGUGUAAAUGGCUUUAAGAGCUGAGAAGCUUGCGAAUGAAUGUCAUGACCUGGUACUCUCCUCGAGCCUGUGACAACUACCGCGGUGUCCCAAUAGACACUCAUUAUCCGGAGUGUCAGCCAGAACCCUGCAAGGCUUAAUAUCAGUUUCUCAUUUCCCCUGUGAGUAACUGUUGCCAAAUAUCAUGUUCUAAAAGAUUUUAAGCUAUUUCCAACUUAAAACAAAUAAAAAAAAUGAUUUUUGUCUCACAGGGGCAUUUUGGUCAUCUUUCCUUAAAAAUUUCGAAACCAGCUAAAAUUGUAGUAUGCGAGUACAAAACACAUAAUUCAUAAUCAAAAAUAAGUUUAAAUGUCUAAAACCUUCAUUUAAAAUGAAAUUAUGAUUAUUUGGAUAUAAUAAAAAAAUAUUCAAUAAAAUAUUCUAUUUUCUUAUAAAACAAUAUUUUUAGAGUUAUACGUAAAUAAUUUUUGCAGCGUAAAAGCAAAAUAAAUUCAUAGAUAUUGUAAUACAGUAACCUAGAGUAUUUAAUUUAAUUUACAAUAAUAAGUGGGCCCUCGAAUAAUCAAAAGUAAAGAAGACUAUGUACCUACAAUUUGGAGGAUGCAAAUCCAAUGGCAGCCCUCGAUGAAAUCAGCUAUCUACAGCCUAUUUUGAGCUUGAAAUGGGUGGAAAGGAGAGUGGUGAGAUUAUAUAAUCCCAGUGAGUAAACAAAAAUCAUCCAAAAUAUCUAAAGUCGAGUAAAUGGAGACGAUUAAAAUAUUCCAGCUCAAUAUGUAUUUCAUAACAUAAAUAUUCAUUUCAUUUAAAUAAUCAACAUGGCUUAUGAGUAUCUUAAAAGCUUGGCUCUUGCCAAAAUCAAUCUCGGGAAUACCUUGACCGAGGCAUAUAAUCGAGUUCGCCAAGGCUGUUAAAAAUUUCGUAUACACGUAAACAUAUUUUUAGUUUGAAAAACACAACCGUUCCUUGGCGUUAGUGGAGUUCAUCAUCACUAGGUGGUUCGACGUGACGUGAACUCUAACCAUACCUCAAGAGAUACCCUACGCGCCUCUCUGACCGAGGUAUGUCUAUAACCAGAUUUCGUGCCCCUCUAAUAGGUUGGUCCACAGAACUCGCCCAUUGCAGCAAGCUAAACCCACCAUACAGUAAAAAUUCAAUAGCAUGACAUGGUAAUUUUAUCAUUAUCUAGCCUAUCAAGGCAAACAAUAGUUUAUACAUUUUUAGCACAUUUACAAAUUCAACCAUUCAUGCCAAUAUUGCCAUAAGCCAAUCAAUUAGAACCAUAAAUUUACAAUACAUCAAAUGGUCUCUAAUUACUCUAUUUGCAAAGCCAUCAUUCAAUUUCAAGACAAUUUAUAAAAUCAUUUUAUUUAAACACAUUUUGUUUAUAAAACCUAAAAAUUAACCAUUUAACUCAUUUUCCAUAAAAUUCACAAAAUUGAAUAAAAAGACCACUUUAGAUAAUUAAAAUGAUGAUAAGGUUACUCACUAUUUCGGAAGUCGAAUUUUUAGAGUACUCCGACUAUCGAUCCUCGGGUACAAUUUCCUUGCCUUUAUCGGAGGAUUCACCACCUAGACAUAAUGCACAAUCCGGCAAUUUACCACAUUGGUGCUAAAUCAUUAUAAAACUAUAUGGAUGCAUGAAAUGGAAUGCAAAUUGUUCGGAUUAUCGUCCAAACACGGUGUUCUACACAAAUUCAUAUGUGUACCUAAAUAAAACGAUAUUGGCCUAAUUCGAUCUAUCACUCGAUUAAUUGGCCAAUAUGUCCAAUUCAACUCCUAUUAACUCCAUUUUUCUUCCAAUUUUCCAAACCAUUAAACACAAGUCAAUUAGCAUAAAAUUUAGCAAAAUCAUCUUCACAUUUUCUCUUGGGAAUUUCGGCCAUGGUGAGUGCAUCAACACUAUGAUUUUUUCUACUCUAUUUUCUCACCAUAAUUCAUCAUUUCCUAACCAAUUCACUAGAAAUAAAAUCAAAAUCAUCAUCAAUAUUCCACAUGGAGAAUUCGGCCAAUGAUGGGUGAUGGGAGAAAAUGAAUUUUUCUUGUUGGUUUUUCAUGCUACAAAUCACUAACUAACUAAAAGCACUAAAAUAUCUUAAAAUCUAACCAAAUCAAGCAUCAAAACUCUUCCCCCCAUGUCCGGUCAGCAAGGGACCCAUCAUGAAACCAUGUGAUUCAACCACGGAAAAUGCAAAAGAAUGUAUGGAAAGGUAGAUCACAAGUCAAAAUCAAGAAAUUUUACCUUUGAUUGCUUGAUUACUUGAAAUCCACAAACUUUCUCUUAAAUUUUCACUCUAGGGUUCUUGUUCUUUCUUUUCUUCCUUUGUUCUUCCUUUGGCCGGCCAUAAUGAAGAGAAAUAGGCUGGUUUUGUGCUGAUUUUAAAGCUAAAUAAUAAAUGGAUAUAAACUUGACACAUGUCACCAUUCCAUUGAUCCAUGUGUCAUACUUACCCAUUAAGCAAUCUCUCUCCACCACUUAAAUUUCCUCAAUUAUCCAUGAUAAUAUUGGGUAAAAUCCAUGUGCUGGACAAGUGUUGGGUGGUGUAAAAUUACAAUUUUGCCCUUGAGGUGGCAAAAUGACUAUUUUACCCUUAUGCUCGAAAAAAUGUCAAAAUUAAAAUUUUUCACUUCUAAAGCUGAAAUUAUGUUCUAAAUAGUCAAUCUUGAUCAAAAACUUCUUUCAACAUUCACAUCUUAACCUCGGGUGGCAAAAUGACAAUUUUGCCCCUAGAUCAUGAAAAUUCCAAUUUGACUCCAAAUCGGUCCUCAAACUCCGAAUCACCAUUUUAAGUUAUUUUGGGGUUUUAAAAUUCUCAAUUUCAUCUUAAAAUCUUUAUUUAGUCUAGUUCGAGGCUUAAUUCAACUUAAUUGCACCACUAGGUACACUACCGACUUUUGACGAUUUUUCUAGGCUUUCCAAGUAUGCAAGCAUAUUGUCAAUCACAUGAAUGACAUGGCAAGUAUUUUAUAAGUUUGAGCUUGACACAAGGCAUCUAACCGAGUCCACCAAGGCUGUUAAAAAUUUGUAUGCACGUAAACAUAUUUUUAGUUUGAAAAACACAGCCGUUCCUUGGCAUUAGUGGAGUUCAUCAUCACGAGGUGGUUCGGCGUGACGUGAACUCUAACCAUACCUCAAGAGAUACCCUACGUGCCUCUCCGAUCGAGGUACGUAUAUAACCGGAUUCCGUGCCCCUCUAAUAGGCUAGUCCACAGAACCCACCCACUACAGCAAGCUAAACCAACUAUACAAUAAAUUUAUGGUAGCAUGACAUGGCAAUUAUUUUAUUUUACAAACUCUCAAGGCAAAUCAACAGCUCAUACAUUUUCAGCACAUUUACCAAUUCAACCAUUCAUGCCAAUAUUGCCAUAAGCCAAUCAAUUAGAACCAUAAAUUUACAACACAUCAAGUGGUCUCCAAUUACUCUAUUUUCAAAGCCAUCGUUCAAUUUUAAGACAAUUUAUAAAAUCAUUUCAUUUAAACACAUUUUUUUUAUAAAACCUAAAGUUAACCAUUUAAACUCAUUUUCCAUAAAAUUCACAAAAUCAAAUAAAAAGACCACUUUAGAUAAUUAAAAUGAUGAUAAGGUUACUCACUAUUUUGAGAGUCGAAUUUUUAAAGUACUCUGACUAUCGAUCCUCGGGUACAAUUUCUUUGCCCUUAUCGGAGGAUUCACCACCUAGACAUAAUGCACAAUUAAACAAUUUACCACAUUGGUGCUAAACUGUUAUGAAACUAUACGGAUGCAUGAAAUGGAAUGCAAAUUGUUCGGAUUAUUGUCUAAACAUGGUGUUAUACACAAAUUCAAUUAUGUACCUACAUAAAACGGUAUUGGCCUAAUUCGAUCUAUCACUCGAUUAAUUGGCCAAUAUGUCCAAUUCAACUCCAAUUAACUCCAUUUUUCUUCCAAUUCUCCAAACCAUCAAACACACGUCAAAUAGCAUAAAAUUUAGCAAAAUCAUCUUCACAUUUUCUCUUGGGAAUUUCGACCAUGGUGGGUGCAUCAAUAUUAUGAUUUUUCCUACUUGAUUUUCUCAUCGUAAUUCAUCAUUUCCUAACCAAUUCACUUGAAAUAAAAUCAAAUCCACCAUCCACACUCUACAUUGAAGAUUCGGCCAAUGAUGGGUGAUGGAAGGAAGUGAAUUUUUCUUGUUGGCUUUUCAUGCUGCACAUCACUAACUAAAUAAAAACACUAAAAUACAUUGAAAUCUAACCAAAUCAAGCAUCAAAACCUCCCUCUAAGUGUUCGGCCAGCAAGGGAUUCAACCAUGGAAAAUAAGAAAAAUGCUUAAGAAAGGGAGAUCUCAAGCUUAAAUUGAAAAAAUCUUAUCUUUUUUUCAGUUGUUUCCUUGAAUUUUCACACUUUUCCCUUGAAUUUUUCCACCUAGGGUUUUGUUCUUCCUUUUUCUUGCUUAUCCUUGGUGAGGCCGACCAUAAUGAAGAGAAAUGGGCUAGUUUUGUGCUAAUUUAUAAGGAGAAUAAUAAAGAAAUAAAAGCUUGACACUUAUCACCUUACCAUUGGUCCAUUUUUAAAUUCUUAACUAUUAAGCUUUCUUUCUCCACCACAUAAAAUAUUUCAAUUAUCCACAAUAUAAAAUGUUAAUGGAUGAAAUCCAUGGGCAUGACAAGUGUUGGGUGUGUAAAAUUACAAUUUUGCCCUUGGGAGGCAAAAUGACCAUUUUGCCCUUAGGUCAUGAAAAUUCCAAUUUGACUCCAAAUCGAUCGUCAAACUCUGAAUCACCAUAUUAAAUAAUUCUGGGAUUUUAAAAUUCUCAAUUUCAUCUUAAAAUCUCUCUUUGGUCUAGUUCGAGGCUUAAUUCAACUUAGUUGCACCACUAGGUACACUAUCGAUUUUUGAUAAUUUUUCGGGGCUUUCCAAGUAUGCAAGCAUUCUGUCAAUCACAUGAAUGACAUGGCUAAUAUUUUAUAAAGUUAGGCUUGACAAUGAAAAUAGGAGAAUGAGAGCUGAGUUAACGAAAAGGAGAAUUUGAGUGUAUCUUCUAGUCAGCCACCAAAAAGGGUCAAAGACUCAUUUGUUUCAGAAAGGACUACUACUGUUUCAGUAACAUCUUCCCGACCUCCAUUUUCACAGACACAGUAGAGGCCUCUGAGAUUUAACAGAUCUGCGAUGACUAUUUUUGGGAAGAGUUUCGGAGGUUUUGAUAGGUACAAAAAUUAUGGGAGAUAUCAUGUCGGGCUGUGUAGAGGGCCUGUACGAUGUUUUUAUUAUGGUCAACCGGGUCACAUUAGGAGAGAUUGCCCACAGUUAGGACGAGCUACAGUAACUGCUCCAUCUCCACCAGCUCGUACGGAUAUGUAGAUGAGAGAUUGCUCUCGAUUACAAUCGAGACAGGGAUGAUUUUGACAUCCCACCAAGGGUAGAUUAAAUAUGUUGAAAUUAAUGUUAUAAUAAAGUACAUAUGAUAGAAAGCUAGUUUUGUAAAUUGUAGUUUCCAUGAUCAUGAAACUCGUGAACUAAUAAUAAGAUAAGCAUAAGAUGUUGAUUCAAGUGGAUUAAUUUCGUGACGAUUUUAAGUUGAAUUGAUUGGACUAUAUGAGUUAUAAGACAAAGAAGACCAGUAGUUGUGAAUACUAAGGAAUUGUGGAACACUAGAAAACAACGAAUAAUUAUGUGUGUGGUGUCAUACGUAUAUGGUGAAGUCACUAUACAAUAUGGAAAGAGUAUUCUCAAGUGGGAUUUUGUAAUACCUCGCACCCUUGUUGGACACAAAUAAGACCUUAUUGAUCAAACGAAUGAUCGUUUGAUGUAAAUUGGAGUGCUAAAGAGCGACAAAGGAUGAAAGGAAAGUUCAACAAUAAAAUGCUUCGUGCGUGCAAAAACAAUAAUUAAAUAAUAAUAAUUUUGUUGGAGAAGAAUUAGUAAGCUAAAGGAUGAUUCGGAAGUAAAUCGAGAUGUAAUGAUGCGUUUCGAGACCAAAGAAGGCAAGUGAAAAUUUUUGAAAUAAAAUAAUAUUUUAUUUAAUAAAAUAAUAUUAAAAUAUUAAUAUUUUAUAUGUUGUUGGAAUUAGUCAUGAAAAAUAGAAUAUGACUAAUUUAAGUGGGGGAGAAGAAGUAAAGAAGAAUUUUAAAGGAAAAUGACGAUAAUUGUGACAGCAUGAUUUUAUUAAAUCGAGCUAACGCGGGUAAGUAAAUAUUUAAAUAUUAUGGUAACACUGCAUUGAAAUGCGAUCUCGAUAUUUUGAUUAUACAUGUGUAAGAAAAGGAAGAUAGAAGGAAAUUAGAAUUUUUACAAGUGUCAGAAGAAUUAAUUUUAAAAUAUGAAAAUUGAGGGAGGUGUAUUAAAUAAAAUGAAGUUAAGGCAUAAUAUGUAAAUUUUAUUGUUUUGAAGAAAUAAAAAUAAAGUGAAAAUAAAAUGGAUGAUAAAAUAAUGAAGAAAAGAUAUUGAAAAGUCAAAUAAUAUUUUUAUAUGCACAUGAGUCAAGAAUGGUGUGAAUGUGGUUUGAAUGGGAAUGAUGUGGUUUGGAUGGGAAUGAAGAAAAGUCAAAGUCAUUUGGAAGAAUACUAAAUUGGAACCUAGUGAAAUGGGUGGCCGACCAAGUGAAUGGAGUAAAGAAAUGAAAAGGAAAUAAAUAAAGAAAGAAGAAUGUAGAAAUGAUGGUGGGGUCGGCCAUGUGAGAUGAAAGAAAGGAAAAUGAGAUAAGAGAGAAAAAUCGUGGGAGAGGAAGAGAAAAGGAACAAAAAAUUUUGCUAUUUUCUUGGAACGAUUUUGCUGCACUUUGAAGGAGGAAAAGAUAGCUUUUUGCUACAAUUUUUGGAGGAAGAACAAGCUUAAAAUUUUGAGGUAAAAAAGCUGAUUUUUUUUAGGUUAAUUGCUGGAAUUUUUGAGGUUUUUAUGGCUGAUUUUGAUGCUGAAAAUUCAAGGUUUUUGCUGUUGAAAUUGUGUGAAUUUACAGCUAGAAAUUUUAAAGGUUUUGCUGCCAUUAAAGGGCAACAAAGUGCUAUUAAUUUGUGCAGAAAAAUUAUGCAUAAAAUUGGAGCUAUUUGCUGUCAAUUUGUGCAGAAAAAUUAGAGCUGUUUGCUGCCAAUUUGUGCAGAAAAUUGGAUAGCUUUGUGCUGCCAAAAUUGAGGAGUUUUGUUGCUGGAAAUUGAGCUAAAAAUCUGCUGAUUUUAGAGCAAAAAAUGGCAGCAAAAAGGGUGAGAAAAUGAGGCUUUUGGUGAUCGAUUUUGAGAGGAAAGGAAUAGAGGAAGCCAUGGUGGUGAAGAGAGGAAGCCACGGUGGUGAAGGGAAGCCACGGGCUGGAAAGAAAAAAAAGAAGAAACAUGGAAAAGAGAAAAAGAAAGAAAAAAGAAAAGAAAUAAAAUGAAUAAAUAAAUAAAUAAAUGCGCAUGACCUAAUAGAAAAUAAGUGGGCAUGACCCAAUAGAAAAUAAGUGGGCAUGGCCCAAUAAGAAAUAAAAAUAAAUGGGCUUAGCCCAAAUAAGGAAAAUGGAGAAGCCCAUGAAAGGGGGCCCCAAAGGUCAUAAAGAAAUGAAAAAGGCCCAAUGGUAAGUUAAUGUUAUAUUUUAAGAUUUAUGGAUAGUUUAAUAUUGUGUAUAUUUUGGAUGAAAAAUAUGCAAGUUGCUUAGGAAAUUUUUAAUUAAGUUGCUACCCAUAUAAAUGUGUGAUUAAGUAUACUGAGUUUAAAUUGUUGUAGGAAAGUUUGUCGUGGAGGCAUGCCAAAUGAAGUAUGUGACCAACAACUAGGAACAAUCAUAUACGCGUACAAAUCAAUAGUGAAGUAAUAUCCCACUAUUAUGAGGUGAGUAGGGGGUGUCAAUUUUAAAAAUUUCUUAUAUAUAUACAUGUAUGUAUAUUUUACGUGAAGUGCAAAAUUUAUGGAAAGCAUGCGUUGAUAGAAUUUUAAGGAAUUGUGGGUGUAAGUUAUUUUUGGAAAUUAUUUGGAAUAUAUAUAUAUAUAUAUAUAUAUUAUAAGUAAAGUGUUUUAAACAAGGAAACAAGCUUUUCGAAAAGAUUUAUAUCAAAGAAAAUUGUGCCUUAUUGUUUGUGUGGUGUGUAUUCAUGAAAUUUAUUACAUAUUCACCAUGCUAUUUUGAUACAAAAUAUCAUGCAAAUAUUUACAAUGAACAUUUUACGAAAAGAGAGUUUUAAUGUGAUGUGGGGACCGAUAUUUUGAGAAAGAUUUAAAAUAUCCCCUUAAAGAUCAAAUUUGAAUUCUUUUAAAAGGUGAUUUCAUUUUAACCAAGAAAUUCAAAAGUAAUUAGAGAUUGCUACUUGUUGUGUUAUAAAUUGUAUUUUGAAUCGAAUGGCUUGUGACAAUAUUUGUAUGAAUGGCUGAAUUGGUAUUUGUGUUGAAAUAUAUGAACUGUGUAUUUAGCCUUGAGAGGCUGGAUUGUGAAAUAAUUGCCAUGUCAUGCUAUUGCAAAUUUUAUUGUAUGGUGGGUUUAGCUUGCUGCAGUGGGCGGGUUCUAUGGACUAGCCUAUUAGAGGGGCAUGGAAUCUAGUUAUAUAUGUACCUCGGUCGGAGGGGCGUGUAGGGUAUCUCUUGAGGUAUGGUUAGAGUUCACGUCACGCCGAACCACCUCGUGAAGAUGAACUUCGCUAACGCCAAGGAACGACUGUGUUUUCAAAAUAAAAAUAUGAUUUAUGCGUACAUUACUUUUAACAGCCGAUUCAGUUGGGAUAGCUCUAGGCCAAGGUAUCCCUGACAACCGAGUAUGAGAAUGAUUUUUGCACAAGCCAAGUUUUUAAGAAAGUCAUAAGCCAUGUUGUUUAUUUUUGACAAAAAAUGUAAUGGUUUUAUAUGAGUUGAAAUAAGUUUUAAUAUUAUAAAUUAUAUUUCUCUACAUGGUGAAAAAGGAAUUAAACGGUUUUUUGCAACUCCCCUAUAUGUUUAUCUAUGAAAGAAAUAUGUAAUUCCUUGCAUAUGGUGCGAGUUAUGAUUUGGGCAUGAUUUUAAAUAUUAUUUGGUUUCACGGGAGCUUGUUAAAUUUUAUUGAUUUGAUUCGAAAAUGAUUAUUAAUAUAUUUCGAUGCAAAAAUUUUAUUACCUUGAUUUUUAUAAUCUAUAAGAAAUUCUAGAUUUUUAUAUAAGGCACAAACCCUCGUUUGAAACGAAUUGCUUUUAUAAUCUUGCAUUUUUAUAUUCAAUUGAUCUGCCGUUUACUUGUUUCCCAUCUACGCCCUACUCGUUGAGUCGAUGAUUAUCACUGAGUCUAUAUGACUUACACCCCUUUAUUUCCCUUUUGUAGUAGGGAUCAGCCUAACGUGUAGUUAGGAUCGCGUUCGGUCCACCGUGAAUAGGUAAAGGCAUCUUCUAGCAUUUUAUUUCAAGUCGCUCCACUGCUAGAGGUCAAGUCGUAGCAUUUUAUUUGUUAAGUUGUAAACGAAUUCUAAAUUUUUAUAUAAGCAUUAAUUUGGAAAUUAUAGACUUAAUGCAUAUACUUACGAAUAAAAGGAAAAAGUGUGUAUUGGUUUUUAUAUUUAUGGUUCAAUUUAGUAUAUGAAAGUAUCAAUAUUAUAUGGUGAUUGAAUGUAGUGGAUUAACGAGCAAAUUCUAGAUAGGCUUGUUCGAGACUUGGCGGGGUCUUUUUCGGAAGUCUUGGAAGUCGACAGCGACCGGGGAGAGGUCGUUGCAGAUUUAUUGACUGAUGAUAAAUGAUGUGCAAUCUGAGAUACAUGUAGCUAUGAAUAAAUUUGGAGAUUUUUGCUUAAGCAAACUCGUACUAAAUGAUAUGGUAAAGAUAUAUGAAUGUUAGUGGUAAAAUAAAUACGUUAAAUCAAUGUUCUGAUCGCGCACUUGUGAUAGAAAGUUAGUCUUGCUAAUUAUGGUAUAGACUCAGAAAGAAGCCACACAAUUGUGAAUAACUGGGGUAGUAGCUUUAAAGGUAGAAGAGUUGCUGGGAUAAAGUGAAUUCAAACAGUUGCAACGCCACAAUACUGACUAUCAAACGUUGUCGCGUUAAGAACCCUUAAUGGCUAGAAAGAGUGAGCAAACUGUGAGCGGCAUAAAGAUUGGACUCACGAGUUGGAAAAUGGUCAUUGGUUUUGAUGUCGAGCUUCGUUAUUGGGAGUCUUAAGUGCAUUGGGGGAGUGUUAAGAUGAAUAAUAUGUUGACUAAAGUCAAAUCUUAGGAAAUAAAGUAAACCUUGUAAAAGGUUAAAGAGGAAGUGAGGGAAAGGUUAGAUGAAUGUAUGAGAUAUUGAUAAGAGAUGUCAAUACCAAGUGAUGAGAGUGUGAAUGAAGAUUUCAAGAAUGAUAUAGCAAAUGAGUUUAUAUAGAAUAUUGUUACGAGAAUUUACAAAUCUUGUAUUGACUUCGUUGAAAGGAAAGGAUUAAUGACAACACAAGUAAACCACGUGGUAUGCUAGAAACCCUUGGAGAUAAGUUGAAGCAUGAGUAGUUAAGCAUGCAUGUAAAUAUUUUGGUGAAGAAAUGCAUGCCUUUAUGGAAAUGAUAUACUUGGAGUAUGAAAGAGCAAAUAAGUGAUUAAGUGUUUCAAGAAUGUUUAAACACCUUUGAGAAAGAAUUAUAAAUUAUACGAGAUGAGUAUAAGAUGUGUGAUUUUGAAACUUGCUAAGGAGCCAAACGGCUAAGUCACGAGUUAAGUGAUCACCUGCUGUGAGACAUAAGUUUAAGAUAGAUAUCCUCAAGGAAAUACUCAAGAGAAGUUCUGCGAUGGAUCUCGUGAAAGCAACCACUAAGUUAUGUGGUUAUAAAAAAGGAAGCUGUAAGCUGAGAGUGAUAUUAGUAUUAAUAUUGAAAAGUACUUGAGGAGAAUCUAGUUUCAAGUCUUGUAAUUUCAAGUACAAUUUGUAAAUUGGUAAUAUAUUCAUAUGAAAGAGUGGAACAAAGGAUGAUAGAAGUUGACCUUGAUAAUGAAGUCGGAUAAUGAAACUUUUGUAAUAUAUUAUGGAAAUUGGAAUUCAAAAAUGCUUGAGGCAUACAUGAUUCAAAUGAGUAUGAGUUUUAAGUGACAAAUCAAUAUCGGAAUGCAAGAAGAAUACAAGGUAAUGUAGAGGCAUGAAGGAUAAUCGAGGAAAAAGGAUGACUCUUAGGAAUUGUGGUAUUGCAUAAGAUGCAAUGAUCAAGUUAAAGAUAAAUCUUUGAGGCAUCAAUGGGAUUAUAAAGCAUACAUUCAUAAUAGAUUAUAAUUCAAUGGAGAUGACAUUAUGAUGCAAUGAUAUAUAGUACAAGGAAACUUAAUCAUAUAAUUGGAAAUGAUAAGAAGAGAGUAUAAGUAUGUAAAUGAUGUGGAACUAUGGACAGGCAUGAUGAGAAUUUGUAUGAAUUAUGAAGAUUAUUCUAUUGAAUCUUGGUUAUGGAUGGGAAUGAACAAAGAGAAAUUAGUUUGAAGGAAUUUGAAAAUAGAGACCCGUAUACAUAAUGAGGAAUAUGGACAUUUGAAUGUGCGUGUAUACAUAUGUGUGGAGUUAGUGAUGUACCCAGCUAAAAUGAAGAAUGGUUUUAGUGGUUCGAGAUUUGAACGCAAUAUAUUUGAUGAGUUGUAUAGAUAAUGUAACGAUCAAGAAUCUUAUCAAAAGUCGAUUUAUGGUGACCUAAGGAAUUUUGGGGAAAUAGUUAAGGGAAUGUAACCUAUAGUGCGAUUAAGCCAUAUGAGAUGGAUUAAUAGGAUUAAGAAGAUUGAAAUUUCCUAAAUGCAAGGUAAACAUGAAGUAUGUGGAAAUAAUUGAAGCCAUUAAUCUUCCCUAACGUUGAAGAUAUGUACAGGAAUGAGUAUGGCAUGUUAAUGAUGCCAUAAACUACACAAUAGUGUAUGAGGAUAGGAUGAAUGAAUGAAAGUCAAGAAGUUUGAUAUGGAAUGAAGUAAUAAGAUAGUGAUUGGUAUACCUAAAUAAGUAUAGAAUGCGAUCGAAAUCGGUAUGAUUGAGAUGGAGUUAUGGUUCAAGUUUACUGAUAGUAAUAGAAGCAUGCUUGGUGUCUCAAUAUAAGAGAUCAUAAUUGUGAAGGUUACUGUUGAUAUGAUUUUAAAGGAUAAUAAUAGACAUAAAUGAAGUACUCGAGUUGAAUUGGAGGUAAAUGAGGUGAACAAAUCGAAAUUCCCUAUAAAGGGGAGGACAUAAGAAGUCAAGCAUUAGAUGAGAAAACAAUACCCCUACAUUUUUUCUGAGUUUAGUAAAUGAAAUUUUGAGGUGAAAAGUUUAUUUUAAGGGGGGUAGUGCUGUCAAGCCCGGGUCUACAAUAUGUUUAUUAUGCCAUUCUUACAUAAGAAUGCAUGUUUGCUUACUUGGGUACCUCGAAAUCGUUAAAGGAUGGUAAUGUACCAAAUGGUACAAUUAAGUUGAAUUAAGCCUUGAACUAGUCCAAAUAGAGAUUUUAAAAUGAAAUUGAGAAUUUUAAAACCCCAUAAUGACUUAAAAUGGUGAUUCGGAGUUCGAGGACCGAUUUGGAGUCAAAUUGGAAUUUUCAUAAUGUAGAGGCAAAAUGGUCAUUUUGCCACUUGAGGCUAAAUUGGAAUGUUGGAAGAAGUUUUUGACCAAGAUUGACCAUUUAGAACAUAAUUUGAUUUUGAGAGGUGAAAAAUUUUAAUUUCAGCAUUUUUCUAAGCAUAAGGGGUAAAAUAGUCAUUUUACAACCUAGGGGCAAAAUUAAAAAUUUUCACCAUCCAACACUUGUCCAGCGCAUGAAUUUCACCCAUUAUUAUUAUGGAUAAUUGAGGAAUUUUAAAUGGUGGAGAGAGAUUGCUUAAUGGGUAAGUAUGACACAUGGGCCAAUGGAAUGGUGACAUGGGUCAAAUUUUCAUCCAUUUACAAUUGGCUUUAGAAAUCAGCACAUAAACCCUCCCAACUCAUUUCUCUUGGUCGGGCAAAGGAAGAAAAGGGAAGAAAAGAAGAAGAACAAAACCCUAGCUAAGAAAUUCAAGAGAAAUUCACUAAAUUUCAAGGAAUCAAGCCAUCAAAGGUGAAAUUUCUUAAUUCUAGCUUGUGAUCUACCUUUCCUAUGCAUUAUUUUGCAUUUUCCAUGGUUGAAUCACAAGAUAUCAAGAAGGAUAGUGUGCUGAUCAAACCUUAGGAGAGAGAAUUUGAUGAUGAAUUUAGUUAGAAAACAUAUUAUUCUAGUGUUUUUAGUUGUUUGGUGAUGUGUAGUAUGAAAAGCAAGCAAGAAAAAUUCAUAUUCGUACAUCACCUUCAUUGGCCUACUAUUCCAUGUGGAAUAUUGAUGAUGAAUUGGAUUGAAUUUCAAGUGAUUUGAUUAGGAAUGAAUGAUUUAUGGUGUGAGAAUCAAGCAUGAAAAAUUAUAUUGUUAGUGAACUCACCAUGGUCGAAUUUUUCAAGAGAAAAUGUGAGGAUGAUUUUACCAUAUUUCAAGUUAUUUAAAUUGUGUUAAAUGAUUUGGAGUAUUGGGAGAGAAAUGGAAUUGUUUGGAGUUGAAUUGGACGUAUUGGCCAAUUAAUCGGGUGAUAGAUCGAAUUAGGCCAAUACCAUUUUAUUUAGGUACAUAAUUGAAUUUAUAUUGAACACAGUAUUUAGAUAGUUACCCGAGUAUUUCACAUCCCAUUUCAUGCAUUAGUAUAGAGCCUGAAUUGGUUUUACAACGGUUUAGAACAAAUGUAGCAAAUUGCUUAUUGUGCAUUAUGUCUAGGUGAUGAGCAUUCUGGCAAGAGUAAAGAGGUAGUAUCCGAGGAUCAAGAAUCAGAGCAUCCCAAAUUCGAUUCCCAUUACAUUGAGAAACCUUAUUAUCGUUUUAAUUAUUUAAAGAAUGUUUUUAUCCAAUUUUGUAAUUUUAUGGAAAAUGUGUUUAAAUGAAAUGAUUUUAUAAAUUGUUUUGAAAUUUAAUGAUGACUUGAAAAUGGAGUAAUUGGAGACUACUUGUUGUAUUGUAAACUAUGUUUUGAAUUGAAUGGCUUAUGAUAAUGUGGGCAUGAAUGGCUGGAUGGGUAUUUGUGUUGAAAAUGUAUAAACUGUUGUUUGCCUUGAUAGGCUGGAUAAUGAUAAAAUUUCCAUGUCAUGCUGUUGAAUUUUUAUUGAAUUGGUGGGUUAUAGAUUGGUCAUUGCAGUGGUGGGUUCGGUGGACCAGCCUUUUUGAGGGGCACGAAAUCCGAGUAUAUUCUUACCUCAAUUGAGGAGGCGCGUAGGGUAACUCCUGAAGUAAAACUUUAGAGUUCACUUCAUGCUGAACCACCACGUGAGGGUGAACUCAGCCAACGCCAAGGAACGGUUAUGUUUUCAAAAUAAAAACAUGAUUUAUGCAUACAUGACUUUUUAACAGCCUUGGCGAACUCGGUUGGGAUAGCCCCAGGCCAAGGUAUCUCUGACAACUGAGUGUAAGAAUGAUUUUGGCACGAGCUAAGCUUUUCAGGAAAUCAUAAGCUUCGUUGUUUAUUUGGGUGAAAUGAAUCUAUUUUAUCUUAUUAAAACGAGUUCGAAAUGCUGUGAAUCAUUCUUAUGCUAAUCUAUUUUAUCUGUCUCCAUUUACUCAGCUUUAUAUAUUUUAGAUGAUAUUUGUUUACUCACUAGGAUUAUAUAAUCUCACCACCCUCAUUUCCAUCUAUUUCAGGCUUAGGAUAGUCGUUAGAUAGCUCAUUUCGUUGAGGGCUACAGUUGGACUUGCAUCCUCAAAAACUGUAGAUUCACAACCUUCAUUACUUUUAGUCAUUCGGGGGCCCACAUGUCAUUGUUAAAUGUUUUGAAUACCUGGCUGCGUGUGCUACUGUAUGUAAGAAUUUAUUUUGCUUUUACGCUAUAAAAAUUAUUUACGUAGCGUUCUAUAAAAAUUGUUUUAUGAAAAAUUGGAAUAUUUUAUUCAUUAUUUUUAUUUUAUUCCAUUAGCUAUAAUUUCACUUUAAAUGAAUGUUUUAGAUAUCUAAACUUAU
rnacentral:lncRNA from 1 species